CGGGGCGCCAGCAGCAGGCUUAGUCCAAUCAAGGCUCGUUUGUUCCUCCUGGGUUUGCCAGGGAGGCAAUACCUGCCUAACCCACUUUAGGUGUCUGACCUGUCCUUUCCGCAUUCUGGGGUCCAGACCAUGUCCUAGACGUUCCUGGUCCCCGAUUCCCUCCCGUUCAACUCCGUUCAGAUGCUCACCUGGCUGGAACACACCUAGCCCAGGCUGAGCUUGGUCUCGUAUUGGGCAGAGGGCUCGGCUUCUGACCCGCCCUGCUCACAGGUUCCUGGGCACCGAUUCCCACGACUCCUACUUCUCCAACGGGCAGAGGCAUCGUGUGGUGGCAGAGAUCCUGGCUCGCACAGUCUAUGGGAAGCAGGAACGAGAAGAGAUGGGCAUUGCCCAUCUGCUGGCCGAGGGAGUCUAUGCUGCAGCCUUCCCACUGCAUGAGGGAAGAGAUCUGUGCCAGUGGAGGUGCCUUCCUCAUGUGGCCACUCUGUGACACCUGUGCCACAUGGAAUAUUUCCGAUGAUAGAAGCUUUGGUGAGGUUAGACAUUGGGACCUUUGGAGUCUCAAAGAGAAGCCCUGCCUGGAAUGGGGAAGAAGGGGAGAAGCAUUCCACUCACCAACCCAGCCAGCCAGCUGCCUAUCCAUCCAAACGUCCAAUCAUUGAUUCUGUAUCUGUUUGGUUCCGUCUCCACUGUCACCCUCCAGCCCAAGCCAGCAUUCUCUCACCUGGACCACUGCAGUGGCCUCCCAACAGGUCUCCUUGCUCCUCUGUUUGCCCCACUUAAUCCGUUCUCAGCUGCCAGGGCAUUCUUUUGAAAACACAAAUCACAUCCUGCAUUAUCCUACUCAGAGCCUUCCAGUG
rnacentral:lncRNA from 1 species